UACAGAGGGUGCAAGCGUUAAUCGGAAUUACUGGGCGUAAAGCGUGCGUAGACGGUUGCGUAAGUCAGAUGUGAAAGCCCCGGGCUCAACCUGGGAAUUGCAUUUGAGACUGCGUAGCUAGGGUGCGGAAGAGGGAAGCGGAAUUCCCGGUGUAGCGGUGAAAUGCGCAGAUAUCGGGAAGAACACCCGUGGCGAAGGCGGCUCUCUGGAACGCAACUGACGCUGAGACGCGAAAGCGUGGGGAGCAAACAGG
rnacentral:rRNA from 1 species